rnacentral:piRNA from 1 species
UAAGUACUGUGGACUGAACCAAGAAAUGC